rnacentral:lncRNA from 1 species
UCAUUGGCACACCGCGACAACCACUUUGUGAAUAGGGCUGUAAUGCUGUAUUCAUCAGCCUAAGCCUCCUAAUCAAUAGGCCACCUUCCCCUAUAGGAGCAAAUGCCCUAUCCUAUUUUAGAAGAUGAAACUUAUUUUGCCCAACUUGGUUUCCCCACAAAAAUGAUUUCAUGAAGGCUUACAAGAUCUGAACCACUUGUUAAGGCAUCCGGGAAAAGUAACAUGAAAUAAACCAAGAGGUUUGACAAAGUGGGCUUAAUUAGAGUUCCUCCAAGGGAUAAGUAUUGUCUUCCAGAGGUCAAGUUUUUUAUGAAAUCUUUCUAUGACAGGCUUCUAAGCUGUGGUGCAUUUGUGCAAGAGGUAAGCCCAGGUAUUUACAUGGCAAAGCAUCUCUUUCACAUCCAACAAUCAUGGCAAGACAUUCAAUUUCUUCAUUUCCAUAGCGAACCUUAUUAGCUUAGUUUUUUGUCUAGGUUGAAUCUCACGCUAGUGACAACCUUCAAGCAUUUUAAAUUGAGAAUAGGAAGGGCCAUGACGGGUCACCCUGUCUAAACCUUGGAUUGGGUUUGUCAUUAACCAAAACUGAGAAGUAUGCACUUGAAAAGAGAAUCAUCAAUCCAAAACCUCCAUCAAGCUCCAAAAACCAUCCGUCCCAUGAUCUUUUGAAGGACCUUCUAGUGAACCUUCCCAUAUGCAUACCUAUACAUGACUCCUGCCCCUCCCCCUAGUAGUUUUUAAUGUAUGCAUUCUGGUCAAUCGGGGAUUCAGAAUACUGUCCAUAAUCUGUAUUUCCUGUAUGGAGGCAGAUUGGGGUCUUUGGAUGACAAAAUCCAGGACCAAUUGGGCAAAACUUUAGCUAUAAUAUUAUAUAAGCUUCCAAGGAGGCUAAUAGGUCUGUCUCUCAACGAUUCUAUAGAGCUCUUUAUGGGCACUAGUGCUAUCGAUGCAGUAUUGACUUCCCCCUCCAAUAAGAUUUUUCAAAAAGUUUGAGCGUGUUCUCUAGGAUGACCUCCCAAAGUUAUGGAAGAAGGGAAUCCGUUAAGCUGUCUAGGCAAAGGGCUCUAUCCCAAGCCGUUUUAAAAGCUACAUGUUACGCCCCAUGCUUUCCAAGGCCUAGAUGCUUUGUGCAUUAGGUGCUAGGAAACUCAUGGGACCGGAAGGUUCUAGAGAAACCUUAAUGAGAGGUCUAGUGGGUUUCUAGACUAGUCCUAAGGGGCUGGACUAUGUAGAGGAUUCUAGAACCGUGAAAGGCUAGAAGGUUCCUGGCCAAUGAGGUGUAACAUGUGGGUGUGUCUAGAAUAUUGUAUGGAAGGCCUUGAGCCUGUAAAAAGGAGAGGACCCCUCAUUUGUAACCCAACUUGGGCAAGGGGAAGAGUGUGGGAGAUCUAUUGCAAGCAUUCUUUGAUUAUAUAGUGGAUUGGAUAAGGCCUUUGGCCAACUCGUGUGUCCCUUUCUUGGUUGGCUUGGUUAUCUAUUGUGUGGUUGUGUUGGCUUUCUAUCCUUCUGUGGUGCAUACUAGGUGGAGGUACUAGUGUUGGUGGUCACUAGGCCUAGUUGCAUACCUUGUGGGCUUAGCAUAUGGUUGUGCUUGUGUUGAGACGGUUGACUCGUCCUUGAUAGACUAAGGAUCGAGUGCUGCAUGGCCUGAGAGUGGGCUUCAAAGUCAGGCCGUGACAUGCAGCCAUGGUUUCAUCACUUUUGAAGCCUUUCACGCCACUUUUCCUUAUCUUCUGGUAGGCAUUUAAAGGGCACAUUUUUCAUUGGUGUUUUUUGGCUGUUCCACAAUAGUGAAAAACUUCUUAGUGUGCGGGACAAUGGUCUCUUGACUGGCAUCGACAUUCUAAUCUUUGGAUGUUGUUACCCCUCCAAUUGUUGACAAUAGUGCGGAAGAACUUAGUAUUGUUGUCAACAUCCUUCAGCUAACAAACCACGGACCAUUGGUGCCAGUAUAUUUCCUCACAUUGAAGGUACUCCUAUAAGGAUGCAGUAAGGUUUGCUUUCUCUUGAAUCUGACACAUAGUUGGCCCCAGCCCAUCAUAUCCAGUGCAUGGAUUUGUCUUGUGAUGGUAUAAAUUUUUGUUGGGAUGUUAUCCAGAGUGCUUCACCUCCCUAUUCGUGUCAUCUUUGAUAAACCACAGUUUCUUCAUCAGAUUGAAGCCUUGCCACCCAUGUCCUUUUGUAGUGGCCCAAACAUUCUUAAUAAAUAAGAGUAGGAGUUUGUCCGACAUCCAUGUCAGUUCAAAUUUGAAGGACUCGGUCCAAACCAUUUGCCCUCGUCUUUUAGGGAUUGGAACGUCAUUAGAGGAGAUUUUCGAGAUGGCCCUUGGGGAGACUAAGGGUACUUGGAAAUAUAUUGUUUCAAAAAUAUAUUACUGGUGUAAUACAUUACUGACGUAAUAUGUUAUUUGAAAAUUGAUUGUCAUUGUUUGGAUAGCAUCUGGAUGCAAUCUGGGUAAUACAUUACUAUUGUUUGGUUAUGAUUGGAUGAAAUCUGGGAAAUACAACUGGUAUUUUGACUAGGAAAUAAUGCAUUACUUUUAUCUAUAGUAAUGUAUUUUUUGUUGUACA